UACGGAGGAUGCAAGCGUUAUCCGGAAUUAUUGGGCGUAAAGCGUCCGCAGGUGGCACUUCAAGUCUGCUGUCAAAGACCGGGGCUUAACCCUGGAAAGGCAGUGGAAACUGAAGCGCUAGAGUGUGGCAGGGGUAGAGGGAAUUCCCGGUGUAGCGGUGAAAUGCGUAGAGAUCGGGAAGAACAUCGGUGGCGAAGGCAGCCUCCUGGGCCAGCACUGACGCUCAUGCACGAAAGCGUGGGGAGCAAACAGG
rnacentral:rRNA from 1 species